rnacentral:lncRNA from 1 species
AGGAUGAUCCCAUGCUAGUGUCUUCCAUGUCUCACAAUCAAUCCAAAAGUUCUUUAUAGAGACUUUGAGAGUGUCCUUGUAUUGCUUCUUUUGACCUCCAUGUGAGCUCUUGCCUUGGUUUCCCAAAUACUGAGCUAACUGGCAAUACAUGCAUCAACUUCAUCUAUGUGGACAUCCUUGGAAAGUAUGCUGCUAAGAGAAGGGCAAGACUUUGCCCAAGAUUUCAUCAUUUCAGUAGCAGGACUAGGACAAUAACCCAAGGCUCCUGACCCCAGGCUGCCUUUUCCAUGAUCCAUCAUUGAAUCAGAAAGAGAUGAUUCAACCAGAUCAAGUUUAACAUUUUUGAACCAUAAAUUCUCUUUAAUUUAUCUCUUAUUUAUAUCUUCCUGAAGACCCUUAAGAAAAUAGUGACUGAAUGUUUCCACUUUAAAAGAAAAAAAAACAAAGAAAAAAUAACUAGGCCCUAUGAUAUGUGAUUUUUAACAUCCCAGAUUUCAAUCAAUACAACACAACUUCUGUCAGUAACUUUCUGGCAUUCUGAAUAAUGGCUUUAAAAUGUAUUUUAUUUUUACAUCACCA